rnacentral:rRNA from 1 species
GAUGAAUGCUAGCGGCAGGCUUAAUACAUGCAAGUCGUGGGGCAGCAUGAGUAGCAAUACUUGAUGACGACCGGCAAACGGGUGCGGAACACGUACACAACCUUCCGAUAAGUGGGGAAUAGCCCAGAGAAAUUUGGAUUAAUACCCCGUAACAUAUAGAGUAGGCAUCUUCUUUAUAUUAUAGCUUCGGCGCUUAUUGAUGGGUGUGCGUCUGAUUAGGUAGUUGGCGGGGUAACGGCCCACCAAGCCUACGAUCAGUAGCUGAUGUGAGAGCAUGAUCGGCCAGCAGGGCACUGAGACACGGGCCCGAAUCCUACGGGGGGUAGCAGUAAGGAAUAUUGGACAAUGGGCGAAAGCCUGAUCCAGCCAUGCCGCGUGAAGGAUUAAGGUCCUCUGGAUUGUAAACUUCUUUUAUUUGGGACGAAAAAAGGGAAUUCUUUCCCACUUGACGGUACCAAGUGAAUAAGCACCGGCUAACUCCGUGCCAGCCGCCGCCGUAA